AGCAGCCGCGGUAAUUCCAGCUCCAAUAGCGUAUAUUAAAGUUGUUGCAGUUAAAAAGCUCGUAGUUGAAUUUCGGGGUCAGUAGGUCGGUCGUGCCACUGGUAUGAACUGGUUUUACUGAUUCCUCCCUCUUGAAGAACUGUAAUGCCAUUAAUUUGGUGUUGCAGGGAAUCAGGACUGUUACUUUGAAAAAUUAGAGUGUUUAAAGCAAGCUAACGCUUGAAUACAUUAGCAUGGAAUAAUGAAAUAGGACGUUCGAUCCUAUUUUGUUGGUUUCUAGGAUUGACGUAAUGAUUAAUAGGGAUAGUUGGGGCAUUAGUAUUCAAUUGUCAGAGGUGGAAUUCUUGGAUUUAUUGAAGACUAACUACUGCGAAAGCAUUUGCCAAGGAUGCUUUCAUUAAUACAAGAACGAAAGUUAGGGGAUCGAAGACGAUCAGAUACCGUCGUAGUCUUAACCA
rnacentral:rRNA from 1 species